GUGCACGCUGGCGGUAGGCCUAACCCAUGCCGGUCGAACGGCAGCACAGUAAGAGCUUGCUCUUACGGGUGGCGAGUGGCGGACGGGUGAGGAAUACAUCGGAAUCUACUUUUUCGUGGGGGAUAACGUAGGGAAACUUACGCUAAUACCGCAUACGACCUACGGGUGAAAGCAGGGGAUCUUCGGACCUUGCGCGAUUGAAUGAGCCGAUGUCGGAUUAGCUAGUUGGCGGGGUAAAGGCCCACCAAGGCGACGAUCCGUAGCUGGUCUGAGAGGAUGAUCAGCCACACUGGAACUGAGACACGGUCCAGACUCCUACGGGAGGCAGCAGUGGGGAAUAUUGGACAAUGGGCGCAAGCCUGAUCCAGCCAUACCGCGUGGGUGAAGAAGGCCUUCGGGUUGUAAAGCCCUUUUGUUGGGAAAGAAAAGCAGCAGGUUAAUACCCCGCUGUUCUGACGGUACCCAAAGAAUAAGCACCGGCUAACUUCGUG
rnacentral:rRNA from 1 species